CCGGGGCGGGGCCCAGAGGAGCGACGGCGGCGCGCUGGCUCCGGUUCCUCCUCGGAGCACCGGCAGUAGGUGGCGCGCCCCAGGGUGGCCCUGCCCCUGGUGGAGGAGUCUUGCAGGAGCUGGGCAGGGGCAGGUUCAGGUUAGACCUGCCUUAACGUUUUCCUCAGGCGAAACCAGUUGCAGCCUCGUUGUUUGGCCAAAGCCCCACGCCCUCCCGCCCCGCCCCGCCCCGAGGGAGCCCCGCUGCGUCCCGUUGCUGCCCUAUCGGGAGGCUGCGCCGUCCCGUUGUCGACGACCCGGCCCGGCGUCCUCGGCACGAGGCACCUCCCGGAGGUUUCUGGUCUCAGGCUUUUCCAGCAUGUUCUGAGGUCCCUGAAGAUCCUGCUCCAGACCAGGGUCUACGUCUGUAAGGGAAAGACCCCCGUCUUCAUAGACAACGUUUGCCCCAUGGCUCUGCCGGUUCUGACUCCCCAGGGACCGGCUCCUCUCGGGCAGCAGGGUCCCAGCGACAGAAGCCGGUGCAGAGUGGGCCUUGAAGGAGGGCUGCCGGCGAUGCGCUCCAGGCCCCGCGAGAGACGGCGGGCCGGGUAGAGCAGGCCAGCCUGCAUGGGGCGUGGGGCACCGGGUUCCUGCCCUUGCCUGGUGGGCCGAGGCCCGGCCUCCUGCUCCGAGACGGUGGGGGGAUUCAGCUUCCUGGUGACUUGUCCAGAUGAAGGACCCGGGGCGCGGAGGUCAGCCGGGACUGAGGGCGCACCCUUCUUGCUCUGCCCGGACUCUCCUGUGCGGAGAGCAGACUGGGCCCCGAGACUCGCGUUGCCAGAGGAUGAGCUCCCGGACGCCCGGGCUCAGCCAGCCUCCGGCUCUGCCUUGUCCGCAGUCCUGGCAUUUCGUAUCUGAGGGACUUGUCACACUCGACCACAUUUCCACUCUGGCCCGAUUUCCUGUUGGUCGUCAAUACAUUGUAUCGAGGGAACACUAGGAAGCCCACUGAGUGUAGGCUACGGUGAUAAUCCUUGGAAAAAUAAACACUUCCUACCGUAAGAAAAGGGAACUUACUUUGGUAUCAAAAUCACA